ACAUUCCUUGAUGACAAAAUGCAAUUUCAGAUUCUCUAGUUAGAACUGUAAGAUCUUUCCAUAAGAAACUUUAUUUUGUUGGAUGUUCUAUUCUAGUUUGAUUGCCUAUACACCUCAAGUUUAACUAAUACAAUGGCCGUCUCAUGUCAAAAAAAGAAACAAUGUCGGACCCGUUAUUUCAAGAGAAAUUGCCAAAAAUUCCAUUUUCAAGUUAUCACUUUUCAUGUUUAUACUAACCAUUUUUAUCAUCAUCUUUAAUGAAAACUAAAAGACAUUUAAAACAUUUUGAUUAACUUUGACAAAAAACAACAUAAGGUUAACUAAUCUAAACUUAAAUCAUCAACUCUAAACCCUAAACCAUGAAACGUCAACCCUAAACCCCGAAACAUCAACUCAAAACCCUAAACCCUAAACCUUCAAAUCUAAACCCUAAAACAUCAACACUAAACCCUAAACCCUAAAUCUAAACUUAAAACAUAAACUCUAAAUCAUCAACUCUAAACCCUAAACCAUAAAACAUCAACUCUAAACCCUAAUCCCUGAAACAUCAACUCUAAACCCUAAACCUUCAAAUCAAAACCCUAAAACAUCAACUCUAAAACCUAAACGUAAACCCUAAACCCUAUAUUUUUCUGAAAUCCGAACCCUAAACCCUAAAAACCUAAACUUUCAAAUCUAAACCCUAAAACAUCAACUCUAAACCCUAAACGUAAACCCUAAACCUUAAACGUAAACCCUAAAACGUAAAACCAUAAACCUUCAAAUCUAAACUCU
rnacentral:lncRNA from 1 species